rnacentral:lncRNA from 1 species
UUGCAGCAUAAAACAAAAUUUAGGUUUUUUGGGCAACUAGGUUGGCCCUACUCUAUUUGCUAUAUCUAAUGUGAAAUCUUACAGAAGUGUUCUGAGAAACCUUACCAAGCAUUUUUUAUUGAAAGCAGAUAGGUUAUACAUACAAAUAAAAGGAAAUCUUGUAUAAUUAAACCAUCCUAAAUAAGUUACUUAAGCACUUAAUUUAUAAAUUUAGGGAAUUAGAUUCUAAUCUUUAUAUAAAUUUGAACUAGACAAUCUCCCUGAAACUCAGUUUCUCCUUUUAUAAAGUAUAGAAAAGUCUCCACUUCACUGGAAUAAAAUGGUCAAGUGAAAGUUAUAUACAAAUAUGAUGAAUGGUCUGAAAUAG